UACGUAGGGUGCAAGCGUUGUCCGGAAUUAUUGGGCGUAAAGAGCUCGUAGGCGGUCUGUCGCGUCGGCUGUGAAAACUCGGGGCUCAACUCCGGAUCUGCGGUGGGUACGGGCAGACUAGAGUGAUGUAGGGGAGACUGGAAUUCCUGGUGUAGCGGUGAAAUGCGCAGAUAUCAGGAGGAACACCGAUGGCGAAGGCAGGUCUCUGGGCAUUAACUGACGCUGAGACGCGAAAGCGUGGGGAGCAAACAGG
rnacentral:rRNA from 1 species